GUACAAGCAUGCUCACAUUCACAACAAUGGAGUCAAGCACAGAUGCGGUUCCUCAGAAUAUGUUUACUUGCCAUUUGUGCAAUUUAUCUACACCAUUCACAUACUACGGACAGAAGCCACCCAAUACCAGGGCUAUUGUCUUGUUGGAAGAGUGUUUUGUGACCAAGGAUCCUUUCAGUCCAGACGGAGAGAGGUUCCUUAUCCUGGGAUCCAACUGUAGUUUGUGCCACAUCACAGUUUGUGUUGGAACGGGCUGCAGCCUUUUCUACUCCAAGCGAUUCUGCAUGCAGUGUGUGAACAAACACUUGGACCAGUUCCCCCCUCACAUUCAAGCUGAGCUCGCCAAGAAAAAGCAGCCAUCAAAGACAGAUGUUUCAUGAUUUCUGUAAAUAGUAAUAUACUCUGAUGACAAACUUUGCUACCCUGUUUCCAAUCGUCUACAUGGUUGGGAGAACCUAUUCAAGUAAGUGAAUACAUUUCGAAAAUGUAAAAAAACAAUGUAUUAUUAGCUAACUCAAAUGAGCUGCUAACAUAGCUAGCUAGCGAGCGAAUUAAAUCUCACCAGCUACCUAAACUUCAUAUUAGCUAGCUAUCUUGAUGUAUUUAUCACAACAACAACAAAAACUAAACGCAUUUUUAGGUAGCUAGCUAACAGCCAUGGAGGGUGAAAGGAUAGCAGCCCCAACUGUCAGUGAGAGAAAGGGCUAUUCUGGACAGGGCAGGUACUUUUGUGUAGUUCCAGUCCCUAGAAGUGAGGACGGAGAUAAUAGUAACAUUAUUCAGUGUGGUAUAAUGAAGUCUGUUUCUUGUGAAGUUUUCUGUCCUCGGAUACAGAGAGCUGUGAAAGCCUGUCUGCAGAUUAAGUCCCAAUGAAGAGCAGUGGCUCUCAGUCCUGGUCCUGGGGACUCAAAGGGUUGCACAUUUUUGUUUUUGCCUUGCACUACACAGCUGAUUCGAAUGAUCAACUCAUCAUCAAGUGGUAUUUAUGUAUUCAUUUGUGAUGCUACCCUUGAUUAUUAUCCUGCUAUUGUCACAUGCUACACGUGCACAUGCAUCCAUCUAUCCAAUGUUAUCAUGAUUUGUUACGUGAUAUUAUACUUUAGUCAUCAAAUCAAAUUGUAUUAGUCACAUGCGCCGACUACAACAGGUGUAGGUAGACCUUACAGUGAAAUGCUUACUUACUACGAGCCCCUAACCAACAAUGCAGUUUUUUUUUAAAAUACAGAAAUAAAAGUAACAAGUAAUUAAAGAGCAGCAGUAAAAUAACAAUAGUGAAAACUAUAUACAGGGGGUACUGGUUAGAGGUAAAUAUGUACAUGUAGGUAGAGUUAUUAACGUGACUAUGCAUAGAUAACAACAGAGUAGCAGCGGUGUAAAAGAGGGGGGGGGGUGCAAAUAGUCUGGGUAGAGAGAGAUGAGAGAAUCCACAAUGACCUGGUGAUUAUAAAACGUCUAAAUUGCAUACAGUUACUGUAAGAUUGGGUGACCAGGGCCAUAUCUGGGACUGCCUCCUGGGGGAAUUCAGACGUGUGAAAGGCUACCUGUGUCCUGCAUAACUUCAUGAGUAUGGACACAAGGGCCUGGAGGGCAUCUGCAGCUCGUCGCCUUGUGUCAGAGGAGAGGUCUGCUGCUCUGCAGGAUGUUUCAAGGAUGGGGGACAACAACGCAGCACGAGAGGCAAUCCGUGUGGGGGAGAUCUUCACCUCCUACUUCUUCGAAAAGGGUGCUGUUCCCUGGCAACACCAUAGACUACACUAUGCACAACCAAAUGCUCUUUUAAAGAGCCAUCCACAUUACAAUAAGAGUAUUCUUCGAUUUACUUAGCUAUGUCAACUGCAGUUAUUAUAUUUCCCAGUUUCGCUCCUUUUGAUUUCUACUUCAGGUGAGGGUGCUGUCUGUACAAAAACAAAACAGGCACUUUUAAGAGACACCCAUAUUGAAAACAUUUAGAACAAGUAGACACUAUAACCCACACCCUCGUAUCAAUCUGAUUGAUGGAUUGUGUUGUGCAGUAAGCAGGCUCAGGUGUAUAACCAUGGCUCCUUCCACCUUCACAAAGAAUAGAAGAGGGGACCAACCAUGGAGAAUAGUACAAAACAUUAUAUAACUACACUAUAUUGUUUGUCGUCUCUGUACAUGUUUUUCAGUAUAAAGUACUCUGCAUCCACUUUAGUGUGGACACCAGGUGAGACCACACAAACAUUCCUGUUGAACAUUGUCUCUAACUACCUUAUUUUCUCAAUAAAUCUCUCUCCUUCACUUCAUCCCUCUUCUCCUUAACUCCUCCAGGUUAUAUCAGCUGUGUCGGUGAACCCCUCCCACAUCUGAACUGGCUGACAGAGGGCACAGUAUGAUCAGAGAUAUGUUUUGAUGUGAGAGAGGAUGCCAACCCCGAGUCCCAUCAUCUCCACCUCACCUGCUUGUAAGAUAACCUUCGGGCCAACUAGAGACACUAUUAUGUAAUUGUGAUGAACUGAGAGAAUAUUUGGGUAGCACCGUGAUUCAUUAAUCAUAUGCUGUCUUCCCUGCUCCUAUGUUCUUACCUCUUUCCCUUUGUCUUUUACACCUCUCGCCACCUCUUUCUUCCUCUGUUUUUAUAAUAAACCACAGAUGUGCAUUGAAGUACAGAUUGAACUUGUAUUUAUAAUGCAUCUAUUUAUAACACUUGGAUAAUGAACUUCUUUCAAUAAAGCAUUUCACAUUC